CCUACGGGAGGCAGCAGUGGGGAAUAUUGGUCAAUGGACGCGAGCCUGAACCAGCCAAGUAGCGUGAAGGAUGACUGCCCUACGGGUUGUAAACUUCUUUUAUAUGGGAAUAAAAUGAGCCACGUGUGCCUUUUUGUAUGUACUUUAUGAAUAAGGAUCGGCUAACUCCGUGCCAGCAGCCGCGGUAAUACGGAGGAUCCGAGCGUUAUCCGGAUUUAUUGGGUUUAAAGGGAGCGUAGAUGGAUUGUUAAGUCAGUUGUGAAAGUUUGCGGCUCAACCGUAAAAUUGCAGGUGAAACUGGCAGUCUGGAGUACAGUAGAGGUGGGAGGAAUUCGUGGUGUAGCGGUGAAAUGCU
rnacentral:rRNA from 1 species